CAAGUCGAACGCAGUAGCAAUACUGAGUGGCAGACGGGUGAGUAGCAUGUGGGAAUCUGCCUUGUGGUUCAGGACAACAUUAGGAAACCGAUGCUAAUACUGGAUAAGCCCUUACGGGGAAAGUUUUAAUGCCAUAAGAUGAGCCCGCAUUUGAUUAGUUAGUUGGUGAGGUAAUGGCUCACCAAGACAAUGAUCAAUAGCUGAUCUGAGAGGAUGAUCAGCCACACUGGGACUGAGACACGGCCCAGACUCCUACGGGAGGCAGCAGUGGGGAAUCUUGCACAAUGGAGGAAACUCUGAUGCAGCGAUGCCGCGUGAGUGAAGAAGGCCCUUGGGUUGUAAAGCUCUUUUGUAGGGGAAGAUAAUGACUGUACCCUAAGAAUAAGGUCCGGCUAACUUCGUGCCAGCAGCCGCGGUAAUACGAAGGGACCUAGCGUAGUUCGGAAUUACUGGGCGUAAAGCGCGCGUAGGCCGUUGAGUUAGUUAAUUGUGAAAUCCCAAAGCUUAACUUUGGAACUGCAAUUAAAACUGCUCGACUAGAGUUUGAUAGAGGAAAGCGGAAUGCAUAGUGUAGAGGUGAAAUUCUUAAAUAUUAUGUAGAACACCAGUUGCGAAGGCGGCAUUCUGGAUCAACACUGACGCUGAGGCGCGAAAGUAUGGGUAGCAAAGAGGAUUAGAUACCCUCGUAGUCCAUACCAUAAACGAUGAUUGCUAGAUGUUGGAAAUUUAUUUUCAGUAUCGCAGCUAACGCAUUACGCAAUCCGCUUGGGGAGUACGACCGCAAGUUAACACUCAAUGAAUUGACCG
rnacentral:rRNA from 1 species